rnacentral:rRNA from 1 species
UACGGAGGGAGCUAGCGUUGUUCGGAAUUACUGGGCGUAAAGCGAGUGUAGGUGGUUGUCCAAGUUGGAUGUGAAAGCCUUGAGCUCAACUCAAGAAAUGCAUUCAGGACUGGGUGACUAGAGGACCGGAGAGGAUAGUGGAAUUCCCAGUGUAGUGGUGAAAUACGUAGAGAUUGGGAAGAACACCAGUGGCGAAGGCGGCUAUCUGGACGGUUUCUGACACUAAGACUCGAAAGCGUGGGGAGCAAACAGG